rnacentral:tRNA from 1 species
GUUCGUGUAGCUCAGCUGGAUAGAGCAACCGCCUCCUAAGCGGUAGAUCGCCGGUUCAAAUCCGGCCAUGGACA